UAACCCACCACUCUGGUAGGCAGCAUUCAAUCCUUCUAUGCCUUUUUUCGUCAACUGUUGAGGUCUUACUUCUGAAACAGAGAAGAAAUAAACAAGUCAGAUUUACCUUCUUGGAAAUGUGGUCCAGAUUUCUCUACUCCCAAGCUCCAAAAAA
rnacentral:lncRNA from 1 species